GUACAGGCCCUCCUCCACCCCUUGCCUACCUUGGUGUCCGUCUGAGGCUCGUUGCCGUCUCCACCCAAAGGUUCUGCUCCAUCGUAGGACGGCUGGAUCCAAGAUGAACUUAAUUUUUCUCCCAAAGGUGUCUUUGGUUUAAUCAGCUCGUAGCUUAUUAAAAUAACUCAACAGAACGAGAGAGACUGGGGGAACGUUUCAGCCAAUCCGAUCGCAGCUCCUCCUCAGGAAGGAGGGAGCGGUGAGACAGGAGAGGGGGGGGAGGUCCACCAUCACUAGGGUCCUCUCCUCCCCCCUUAUCUCCCCCUCGCUGAGGGAGAGAAGGGGGAGGUCCACCAUCACUAGGGUCCUCUCCUCCUCCUCCCCCCUUAUCUCCCCCUAGGAGGGAGAGGAGGGGGAGGUCCACCAUCACUAGGGUCCUCUCCUCCUCCUCCCCCCUUAUCUC
ensembl:lncRNA